GCAAGACGGAAAGACCCCGUGAACCUUUACUAUAGCUUGACACUGAACAUUGAGCCUUGAUGUGUAGGAUAGGUGGGAGGCUUUGAAGUGUGGACGCCAGUCUGCAUGGAGCCGACCUUGAAAUACCACCCUUUAAUGUUUGAUGUUCUAACGUUGGCCCCUAAUCGGGGUUGCGGACAGUGUCUGGUGGGUAGUUUGACUGGGGCGGUCUCCUCCUAAAGAGUAACGGAGGAGCACGAAGGUUGGCUAAUCCUGGUCGGACAUCAGGAGGUUAGUGCAAUGGCAUAAGCCAGCUUGACUGCGAGCGUGACGGCGCGAGCAGGUGCGAAAGCAGGUCAUAGUGAUCCGGUGGUUCUGAAUGGAAGGGCCAUCGCUCAACGGAUAAAAGGUACUCCGGGGAUAACAGGCUGAUACCGCCCAAGAGUUCAUAUCGACGGCGGUGUUUGGCACCUCGAUGUCGGCUCAUCACAUCCUGGGGCUGAAGUAGGUCCCAAGGGUAUGGCUGUUCGCCAUUUAAAGUGGUACGCGAGCUGGGUUUAGAACGUCGUGAGACAGUUCGGUCCCUAUCUGCCGUGGGCGCUGGAGAACUGAGGGGGGCUGCUCCUAGUACGAGAGGACCGGAGUGGACGCAUCACUGGUGUUCGGGUUGUCAUGCCAAUGGCACUGCCCGGUAGCUAAAUGCGGAAGAGAUAAGUGCUGAAAGCAUCUAAGCACGAAACUUGCC
rnacentral:rRNA from 1 species